GCAAGUCGAGCGAGAACAGAGACUUCGGUCUCUUAGUAAAGCGGCGGACGGGUGAGUAACACGUGGGUAAUCUGCCCCUCGGCGGGGGACAACAGGUCGAAAGACCUGCUAAUACCGCAUACGCUUCUUGGAGCUUCGGUUCUAAGAAGGAAAGGUGGCCUCUAUUUAUAAGCUAUCACCGAGGGAGGAGCCCGCGUCGCAUCAGCUUGAUGGUGGGGUAAUGGCCUACCAUGGCAAAGACGCGUAGCUGGUCUGAGAGGAUGAUC
rnacentral:rRNA from 1 species